ACAGCUCUCUCCCAAAAUUAACUCGGUUGUAACCCUGCGUGAGUAAUAGCUUUGCGGCAACAGUUUAGAGAAAUACAUUGUUAAUAAUUGUCAUCUCGCUGAGCAAAAUGCUGGGACAAAUUUUACAUAACAGUGCAAGAAGCCAUAAAAAAAGGCCAGUCUGGGAAGCUCUGAAAGUUUGCUGUUCAGUCUUGUUUCUAAGAGCCCUCUCAUAAUGAUGUUGAAGAACAUCACAAACAGUUCUGUUCCAAGGUCAAGAGGCUGUAACUGAUGAUGCCCAUGUUGCUGGCAGUCUCUGGAGGUGGUGCAGAGUAUUAGAGGUAUACACCCUGUUGUUAGAGUCUGUAAACAAGUCAAGAUG